rnacentral:ncRNA from 1 species
CCUCGGGGAGCCUUAUUGGCUGAGAUGCAUUCAGCAGACCCGCAGAACCUGAUCCAGUUCAUGCUGGCGUAGGGAAGGU